rnacentral:ncRNA from 1 species
AUAAAGACUGUGAUGAGAAGAGUAGAUAUGAGAAGUAGUUAAAGCGAGUUGACGAUGGUGGAAGGUCAAUAUGAAGCUCUUAUUGAAGAACAUCUCGGAGUUUCUAACCGAAAUCUUAGGAGAGUAGACUUAGACGGAAUCUCACCGUUAAAAGAGAAGAGUAUCAAGAGAGAUCUUUGUACUUGUUGAGUUGAUCAAUAUGAUAAUUUGGGUGGUACCGCGGAAUGUAUCCUUUCGUCCCUGUU